rnacentral:lncRNA from 1 species
AAAAGAAACCAUUCGUACUCUCAUAACUCAAGUUGGAUAACUUUCAAACAGUUCAAAGGAAAAUCUUUCGGCAAUUUCAUUUAUUGAGCGGUCUUUCCUUCUUUUAUGUUUGUCUCGUUUAAAAUGGAUUUGGAUUCUUCAGUUUGAACCAGUUAUUAAGACAAUAAAAAAGGUGUUUCCUUGUUCUGGGAUCUUUUAUCUUUGUUUUAUUUAAAAUCAUUGGGUUUAGACAUUACUUCGGUGCUUUUUAAUCCUUUCAAAAUGGCAGCAACAUACCCCUUUUGCGAUUUCUUUAUAAUAGAAAAGAACUGUCUUUUAUGUAUACUUUCCCCGGUUCUGUUGCUACCGCGAGCUUUACGCAAUCGAUCGGAUUAGAUAGAUAUCCCUUCAACAUAGGUCAUCAAAAGGAUCUCGGA